UUUCCGUAGGUGAACCUGCGGAAGGAUCAUUAUUGUAUAACCGAGGUGCGAGGGCUGUCGCUGACCCGAAAGGUCGUGCACGCCCGAGUGCCCUCACACACAUCCAUCUCACCCCUAUGUGCACCACCGCGUGGGUCCCCCUUUGGCUUGUUCGGAGGGGGGCUUACGUUUUCACACGAACUUUGUAUGCAGUGUAGAAUGUAUUUUUUGUUUUUGCGAUCACGCAAUCAAUACAACUUUCAACAACGGAUCUCUUGGUUCUG
rnacentral:misc_RNA from 1 species